GAUGAACGCUGGCGGCGUGCCUAACACAUGCAAGUCGAGCGGCAGCGAGGGGUGCUUGCACCCUGUCGGCGAGCGGCGGACGGCUGAGUAACGCGUGGGAACGUGCCCCAAAGUGAGGAAUAACUGCCCAAAAGGGUAGCUAAUACCGCAUAUUAUCUUCGGAUCAAAGGAUUUAUCCGCUUUGGGAGCGGCUCGCGUCGGAUUAGGUAGUUGGUGAGGUAAUGGCUCACCAAGCCGACGAUCCGUAGCUGGUCUGAGAGGAUGACCAGCCAGACUGGAACUGAGACACGGUCCAGACUCCUACGGGAGGCAGCAGUGAGGAAUCUUCCACAAUGGGCGAAAGCCUGAUGGAGCAACGCCGCGUGCAGGACGAAGGCCUUCGGGUUGUAAACUGCUUUUAUAAGUGAGGAAUAUGACGGUAACUUAUGAAUAAGGAUCGGCUAACUACGU
rnacentral:rRNA from 1 species